CAGUCGCCACGGUAAUACAGAGGAUGCAAGCGUUAUCCGGAAUUAUUGGGCGUAAAGCGCGCGUAGGCGGUUUUUUAAGUCUGAUGUGAAAGCCCACGGCUCAACCGUGGAGGGUCAUUGGAAACUGGAAAACUUGAGUGCAGAGGAGGAAAGUGGAAUUCCAUGUGUAGCGGUGAAAUGCGCAGAGAUAUGGAGGAACACCAGUGGCGAAGGCGACUUUCUGGUCUGUAACUGACGCUGAUGUGCGAAAGCGUGGGGAUCAAACAGGAUUAGAUACCCCCGUAGUCCCUGUCUCUUAUAC
rnacentral:rRNA from 1 species